UUUCAUCCAUUUGUACUGUUAAAACUGAUGUGGUUGAUGGAAUAACCAGACAGUGACAUGUGACGUGUCAUGUGUACUUCAUGAUGACAUACAAAAAUCAAUUUUUAACAACAGAAAUGGAUGAAA
rfam:Gossypium hirsutum cultivar TM-1 unplaced genomic scaffold scaffold2540.1, whole genome shotgun sequence